GAUGAACGCUGGCGGCGUGCCUAACACAUGCAAGUCGAGCGAUUUACUUCGGUAAAGAGCGGCGGACGGGUGAGUAACGCGUGGGUAACCUGCCCUGUACACACGGAUAACAUACCGAAAGGUAUGCUAAUACGAGAUAAUAUGCUUUUAUCGCAUGGUAGAAGUAUCAAAGCUUUUGCGGUACAGGAUGGACCCGCGUCUGAUUAGCUAGUUGGUGAGGUAACGGCUCACCAAGGCGACGAUCAGUAGCCGACCUGAAAGGGUGAUCGGCCACAUUGGAACUGAGACACGGUCCAAACUCCUACGGGAGGCAGCAGUGGGGAAUAUUGCACAAUGGGCGAAAGCCUGAUGCAGCAACGCCGCGUGAGCGAUGAAGGCCUUCGGGUCGUAAAGCUCUGUCCUCAAGGAAGAUAAUGACGGUACUUGAGGAGGAAGCCCCGGCUAACUACGUG
rnacentral:rRNA from 1 species